rnacentral:rRNA from 1 species
CACGUUGGUAUCUGCCUUUUGGUCAGGGAUAGCCAGGAGAAAUCCUGAUUAAUACCGGAUAGUCUCUUCGGAGUAAAGAUUUAUCGCCAAAAGAGGAACCUGCGGCCUAUCAGCUAGUUGGUGAGGUAAUGGCUCACCAAGGCUAUGACGGGUAGUUGAUCUGAGAGGAUGACCAGCCACAAUGGAACUGAGACACGGUCCAUACUCUUACGGGAGGCAGCAGUGAGGAAUCUUCCACAAUGGGGGCAACCCUGAUGGAGCGACACCGCGUGAAGGAUGAAGAUCUAACGAUUGUAAACUUCUUUUCUGAGGGAGCAUAAUGAGAGUACCUCAGGAAUAAGGGACGGCUAAAUACGUG